ACCCAGAGCGGUGAGCCCAGUCCCGAGUCCCAGAGGGAGCUCCAGCAAUAGGGGCCAUGUCGCCGUAGCCCCAGCCUCUCGGUCCACAGCCUCAGCAGCAUCCCAGCCGGCUGGCUUCAUGCUGCGGUGCAGCUGCACCAUGUUCCUGGGUUGAGGGGGCAAUCAGGCACGCUCCUCCCCAUGGGUUGCCCAUCAUGUCUAAUGGAUAUCGCACUCUGUCCCAGCACCUCAAUGACCUGAAGAAGGAGAACUUCAGCCUCAAGCUGCGCAUCUACUUCCUGGAGGAGCGCAUGCAACAGAAGUAUGAGGCCAGCCGGGAGGACAUCUACAAGCGGGAGAAUUGAAGAACUGAAUCAGAACCUGGCUGCCCAGGAGA
rnacentral:sRNA from 1 species